rnacentral:lncRNA from 1 species
UUAAGCCCGAACAGUCUUCUUCUUUUUUCUCAAUUUGUAUAUUUUAUCAUAAAGUAUCAAUGGAAAAAUAAGGUAUUAAUACGAGGGACUCAAAAAUGUCAUUAUAAGUCAUUAUAACAAAUUAUUAUGAUUCAAAACGAGGUUUUGGUCAAAUUUUGGUGUAGAAAACGUUAGAAUGCCGUUUCUUACAUUUUUCUCCAUCCCCAAAAUAUUGUAUACUUCGAUUUUGCUGAUCAUCUUGGCAAUAUUUUGCCAAGCAUAAUUCCUGUCCUUUGACAUGUUCUACGUGUCGGACUUAUGACUUAUUAAAAUGUCCAGUUGGUGAUAAAUAGCAGUCUUAUUUUCGCAAAUGUGUGAGUGUUUAAUGAAAGGGUAACAAAUCAAUUGGAAGUUCUGCCUGA